rnacentral:lncRNA from 1 species
GAAAGUUGAGCUUGUUGUAAAUGUUGAAGAACUUACCUCUGAUGAAGAACCACUUAUAAACAUUGUUACUCCCAGUAUUUCAAAGAGAUUGCAGAGGCGUAAAGGAAAGAUUGUUGCUUUUAAAGAUUCCCCUCCAGGGAAGUGAAGAGAAAAGCUGAUGGGUUAAAAGGAACUCCUUCUAAAAGCUCCACAGGAAAAUCUCCUGUUGGACCCACUAGGUCUUGGAGUAAAGUUG